rnacentral:lncRNA from 1 species
UAGUGACUGAGUUCUCACGAGAUCUGGUUGUUUUAAAGUGUGAAGCACCUCCCCUUCUCUCUCUUCCUCCGGCCGUUUAAGAAGAGCCUGCCACCUCUUUGUCUUCCGCCAUGAUUAUAAGUUUCCUGAGGCCUCCUCAGCCACGAUUCCUGUGCAGCCUGCAGAGCCGGAAUUCAGAGCGAUUCCUGAUUAGACCUCAGAGCACGUGGUUUGACCGGCCAUCUGGAAAGGGAGGGACAAGCCACAGACAGUUCAUAUAAAGUUUCAUAUAUAUAUAUUUUGAGACAGGGUCUCACUCUGUCACCCAGGCUGGAGUGCAGGGUUGUGAUCAUAGCUCACUGCAGCCUCAACCUCCUGGCCUCAAGCGAUCCUCCAGCCUUAGCCUCCGAAAGCAAUGGAAUUACAGGUGUGAGCCACCAUGCCCAGCUCUGGAACUCUUAAAAACUGAUGAGAAAAGGCAAGUUAAAAGGUCAGAGGUAUACAUUGAGAUGGCCUGAAGCAACUGAAGAACCACAAAAGAAGUGAAAAUAGCCAAUUCCUGCCUUUACUGAUGACAUUCCACCAUCAUGAUUUGUUCCUGCCCCACCCUAAUUAACCAGUUGACCUUGUGACAUUCCUUCUCCUGGACAGUGAAUCUCAGGAGCUCCCCACUGAGCACCUUAUGACCUGCCCCUGCCUGCAAGAGAAAAAACCCCUUUAACUGUCAUUUUCCACUACCUACCCAAAUCCUAUAAAACUGCCCCACCCCUCUCUCCCUUUGCUGACUCCCUUUUCGGACUUGGUCUGCCUCCACCCAGGUGAUUAAAAAGCUUUAUUGUUCACACAAAGCCUGUUUGGUGGUCUCUUCACAUGGACACGCCUAACAGAGAUGGUAUAAAAAUGCUUUGAAAACCUAAGAAAAACAUUCAUUUAAUUAUUUGUUUAUUCAACAAAAAUUAAUUGAGCAACUGCUAUGUGCUG